UACGGGGGGGCAAGCGUUGUUCGGAAUUACUGGGCGUAAAGGCUCGUAGGCGGCCUAACUAAGUCGGACGUGAAAUCCCCAGCUCAACCUGGGAACUGCGUACCGAUAACUGGAUGGCUUGAAGUCCGGGAGAGGGAUGCAGAAUUCCAAGGUGUAGCGGUGAAAUGACGUAGAUAUCUGGAGGAAUACCGGGUGGCGAAGGCGGCAUCCUGGACCGGCAUGACGCUGAGGAGGCGAAAGCCAGGGGGAGCAAACGGG
rnacentral:rRNA from 1 species